GAUGAGCGCUGACAGAAUGCUUAACACAUGCAAGUCUAUGAGAAGAUCUACUUCGGUAGAAGGUUAUCAUGGCGGACGGGUGAGUAACGCGUAAAGAACUUGCCUCUUAGACUGGGAUAACAGAUGGAAACGUCUGAUAAGACUAGAUAUAAUAGCGACAUGGCAUCAUGUUGUUAUGAAAGGUAACACUAAGAGAGAGCUUUGCGUCCUAUUAGUUAGUUGGUGAGGUAAUGGCUCACCAAGACGAUGAUAGGUAGCCGGCCUGAGAGGGUGAACGGCCACAAGGGGACUGAGAUACGGCCCUUACUCUUACGGGAGGCAGCAGUGGGGAAUAUUGGACAAUGGAGGAAACUCUGAUCCAGCAAUUCUGUGUGCACGAUGAAGGUUUUGGACCCUCGUAAAGUGCUUUCAGUAGGGAAGAAGAAAGUGACGGUACCUACAGAAGAAGCGACGGCUAAAUACGUGCCAGCAGCCGCGGU
rnacentral:rRNA from 1 species